GCAAGUCGAGCGGUAACAGAUCUAGCUUGCUAGAUGCUGACGAGCGGCGGACGGGUGAGUAACGCGUAGGAAUCUACCUAGUAGUGGGGGAUAGCCCAGAGAAAUUUGGAUUAAUACCGCAUACGCCCUAAGGGGGAAAGGAGGGGAUCUGUUUACAGACCUUUCGCUAUUAGAUGAGCCUGCGUCGGAUUAGCUAGUUGGUGGGGUAAAGGCUCACCAAGGCGACGAUCCGUAGCUGGUCUGAGAGGAUGAUC
rnacentral:rRNA from 1 species